rnacentral:rRNA from 1 species
AUACGUAGGGGGCGAGCGUUGUCCGGAAUGACUGGGCGUAAAGGGCGUGUAGGCGGUUGAAUAAGUCUGGAGUGAAAGUCCCGGUUUCAAGUUGGGAACUGCUUUGGAUACUGUUCAACUUGAGUGCGGAAGAGGUAAGUGGAAUUCCCAGUGUAGCGGUGAAAUGCGGAGAGAUUGGGAGGAACAACAGUGGCGAAGGCGACUUACUGGGCCGUAACUGACGCUGAGGCGCGAAAGCUUGGGGAGCGAACAGGAUUAGAUACCCUGGUAGUCCACGCGGUAAACGAUGAAUGCUAGGUGUUGCGGGUAUCGACCCCUGCAGUGCCGGAGUAAACACAAUAAGCAUUCCGCCUGGGGAGUACGGCCGCAAGGUUGAAACUCAAAGGAAUUGACGGGG